rnacentral:rRNA from 1 species
UGGGGAAUAUUGCACAAUGGGGGAAACCCUGAUGCAGCGACGCCGCGUGAAGGAAGAAGGUUUUCGGAUCGUAAACUUCUAUCAGCAGGGAAGAAAAUGACGGUACCUGACUAAGAAGCCCCGGCUAACUACGUGCC